rnacentral:rRNA from 1 species
UACAGAGGGCGCGAGCGUUGUCCGGAAUCACUGGGCGUAAAGGGCGCGUAGGUGGCCACCAUAAGGCCGCGGUGAAAGUUUGGGGCUCAACCCCAGAUCGGCCGGCGGCGACUGUGGGGGCUGGGGCACUGUAGAGGCAGAUGGAAUUCCGGGUGUAGCGGUGGAAUGCGUAGAGAUCCGGAAGAACACCAGUGGCGAAGGCGGUCUGCUGGGCAGUGGGAGCUUCGGCUCUCUUUGAGCCGACGACUGAGGCGCGACAGCGUGGGGAGCAACAGG